CCUGGUACAGGCAAAAAUGACCAGAUGGGGGAGUGUUGGCCCAGUCAGAAGGGCCAGACAACUCCAGGUCGUACUCCGGAGGAACUCCAUACUGAACCCUUAUCAGAAGGAGUUCCUCCAAGGUCAGGGAACAUGGAAUGGCGCCCGGUGCAAAAACUGGGUGGAGCCCAGCCCCAGACGCAGGUUCGUCUACAGAGCAGGGGACCUGGGGGUGUGAGGCGGAAGAGCUCCCAGAACUGCAAGGAGCGAAAGAGCCGAAUGACAUUUCGGGUAGUUUUGAAGGAGGGCUUUAAAGGUCCCUAAGAAGACGGACAGGAUGGGGGAUGAGAGGCCACAGGAAACUAACUCGGAGGGAUGCAAAAAAUAAUGACAGAGAAGAAGUCCCUAGGCGGUGGGAAGAAGGUUGAAGGUGCUGGAACUAACCUAUAUCGCUCUGAGGGACCAGAGGGACGAAGACAGGGAUGAUUUGGAAGACACCUACGGCUCGAGAAGAUGCCCACUGAAACAGGGCUCUCGAAGAGAAGGCAGACACUGAUA
rnacentral:lncRNA from 1 species